GUAGCUCGCUAGGCGAUCGCUUGGUCAGCCGAUCAAGAGGAAAGUCCGGGCAGUGAAGGACACCGACAGUCGCUAACGGCGACCGGGGGUAACCCUAGGGAAAGUGCCACAGAAACGAAACUACCCAUGCGUUACGGCGCGCGGGAAAAGGUGAAACGAGUAAGGUAAGAGCUUACAGCUGGUCAUGGUGACAUGGCGAGGAGGUAAACCCUGUUGACUGCAAGGAGAUCUGCAUUAGAGUGGUCCGCUCGCAGGUCGAUAACCGCUUGAUUCGCUUGGCAACAGGCGAACUAGAUAGAUGAUCGCCCACGACAGAACCCGGCUUAUCGGCAAGCUACCAUG
rnacentral:RNase_P_RNA from 1 species